ACGAAGUAGCAAUACUUAGUGGCAGACGGGUGAGUAACAUGUGGGUAUCUACCCUUUGGCCUGGAAUAACACGAGGAAACUUGUGCUAAUACCGGAUAAGUCUUUACGGAGAAAGCUUUAUGCACCAUUGGAUGAGCCCGCACUUGAUUAGUUUGUUGGUGGGGUAAUGGCCUACCAAGACUUUGAUCAAUAGCUGAUUUGAGAGGAUGAUCAGCCACAUUGGGACUGAGACACGGCCCAAACUCCUACGGGAGGCAGCAGUGGGGAAUCUUGCACAAUGGAGGAAACUCUGAUGCAGCGAUGCCGCGUGAGUGAAGAAGGCCCUUGGGUUGUAAAGCUCUUUCGUCGGGGAAGAAAAUGACUGUACCCGAAUAAGAAGGUCCGGCUAACUUCGUGCCAGCAGCCGCGGUAAUACGAAGGGACCUAGCGUAGUUCGGAAUUACUGGGCUUAAAGAGUUCGUAGGUGGUUGAAAAAGUUGGUGGUGAAAUCCCAGAGCUUAACUCUGGAACUGCCAUCAAAACUUUUCAGCUGGAGUUUGAUAGAGGAAA
rnacentral:rRNA from 1 species